GGAGAGGUAACGGCUCACCAAGGCAUCGACGGGUAGCUGGUCUGAGAGGAUGAUCAGCCACACUGGAAUUGAGACACGGUCCAGAUUCUUACGGGAGGCAGCAGUGGGGAAUCUUACACAAUGGGGGAAACCCUGAUGCAGAGAUGCCGCGUGCGGGAAGAAGUCCUUAGGGUUGUAAACUGCUUUCAGGAGGGAAGAAAAUGACGGUACCUCCAGAAGAAGGUGCGGCCAAUUACGUGCCAGCAGCCGCGGUGACACGUAGGCACCAAGCGUUAUCCGGAUUUAUUGGGCGUAAAGAGUUGGUAGGCGGUUUGGUAAGUCGGGUGUGAAAACUCUGGGCUCAACCCAGAGAGGCCACUCGAUACUGCUAUGACUAGAGUACGGUAGGGGAGCGGGGAAUUCCUGGUGUAGCGGUGAAAUGCGCAGAUAUCAGGAGGAACACCAGCGGCGAAGGCGCCGUUUUGGGCCGUAACUGACGCUGAGGAGGGAAAGCAUGGGUAGCAAACAGGAUUAGAUACCCUGGUAGUCCAUGCCGUAAACGUUGGGCAUUAGGUGUGGGUCUCAACCAACGAGAUCCGCGUCGUCGCUAACGCAUUAAGUG
rnacentral:rRNA from 1 species